rnacentral:lncRNA from 1 species
UACGACUUUAUAUGGCGCAUUUCCUCGAUCUACUAUAACCAGUAAGUCACCCUAGCAUUUCGUCCCUUCCGACUUGAAUACUAUGCGAUAUUUAUCGGUUUUCCUUUUUUACUGUCCGGUACUUCGUUUGUAACUCUGCAUUUUAAUCCGUUUUAUUUCGUAUUCAUAUCUCGUUUGGAAGCGACCGUCCGACUAUACUCAGGCCGAUAACUUUUAACGCAUAAUAUAGUACCUAUACUGCGAGUUAUUAGUUCUUUUUUCCGAAAUCCGAUCGCAAUGGUUGUUGUUAACCAUCACAGAGAUGUCGAAAGAAAUUUUUUUUUUGAAAAGAAUGUCGUUGACCCGUCGUCGACGUGCGUAUAUUAUACGUGUGUACACAUUGUGUGCAUGUGUGUACGAGAGAGAGAAAGAGAGAGAGAGGAAUACAUGUGUACGUGCGCAAACGAACAGCGCGGGGUUUUUUUUUUUUUUUUAAUAUUUUCGUCAUCCGACGGCGACAAGUGCUCGCGAACUUCGCGGGCGCACACGCGAUGCAAGUAUACGUUAUAUACGUGUAUUAUAAUAACACUAAUAAUAAUAAUAUAAACGUGUUUAUUACAGUCCGUAUAGGUAUAUAUAUACACGGUAAGAGAGCAGGUCCGGUGCAGUUUUCGCCCGAGGGCCACAGACAUAUAGAUACCGCGUUUUAUAUCCAUAGAUAUUAUAUAUAAGGUAUACACCACAUUUUAUAUAUUAUCACGGGUAUGUGUGUGUGUGUGUGUGAUGUGACGUGAUGUGAUGUGCGUGUGGUAUCCGUAAGGUCGCGUAUAGAUCAAGCGUUUUGGUCGCAACGUCAAAAAAAAAACCGCAGCCGCGCAUUCGACGGUGUCCGGUACGCGUGUUUACAAACCUUACCGGAGUUGGAUCCCAGCCGAAACGUACAACCGACGAGUUGAUUACUCAGAGUAGUAUUACAAUAUAUAGAAACAACACGAAAUAUAACCUCGCGGCUUGUCGACGCAAACUCGAUUUUUCCUUCCUCUCCCCUCUCCCCGUGAAAAUUGUUGUAAACCUAUGAAACCGUUGCGGGUUCGGAUAAAGCAGACUAGGAGAAACGGAGAAACUUAACCUAGCCGUUUCGGUCCGAAAACCCGAUAGUGUUCCGAGGAAGUCGAUGUCUUACGUACAGACGUUAUUUAACAAACUGGCGAUAAAAAGUGAAGUUUCAAUUAAUGGGCCUUAUCGUCCGCUUACGUAUUGUGAUAACUGCUGUACAUUCGUAUCAGUGUGAUAUUGUGAACGAUCGCGGUCUUGGUCACCGUGAUUUCUAUACCAAAAGCAUUACUGUGAUACGCCAAUUAUUAGCGAUAUAUAUUAUUCUGUACAGUGCGAUCCGCGAUGAUAAACCUCAUGCCCAAUGUCAACCUAACCGAUAAAGUCGACAUCUCCGGCACGCAGUGGCGCAGCCGUUGAGGGGUUUAAUUAUAUUGUUUAGAUCGCUUAGCAGUAUUUUAUCGUUCUUUAAAACUGCAGAAGUACCGGAUUCAACGACCAUGAGGUAUUUUUUUUUUCUCGGAAAACGCUUUUUUCGUCAGUUGAAAUGCUCCAUGCUCCAAAUUCUUCGCCUUGAAACAUAUGGAUUUUCACCCGGUUGUACUUUAGUUUGAGACGUUUAUCUAGACUCCGACGGAUUUCUAAACAAAAAUUGUGAAAAAAAAAACCCCCCAAACAAUACCGAUAAUACGUCGGAUUUAUUCUUGUCGAUUUAUCCGCAACGGAUACGGCGUUCUUGCGACGACGCUUAUAAAUAAAUACGUGUCGUUAUUCGGAAUAAUUCGCCCCGCGGAACGGGCGAAAAUGACGAAAAUCUAGAAGCGACAAAAUUUUUGAAAACUGUUAUAAUUUCGCCUACGAAAUUACGCCGUUCCAGUUUUCGUCUUCGAAAUGUUAACUUUACCGAAUUUUUUUCCGGUUAGUUUAGG